GACGAACGCUGGCGGCGUGCUUAACACAUGCAAGUCGAACGGAAAGGCCCUGCUUGCAGGGUACUCGAGUGGCGAACGGGUGAGUAACACGUGGGUGAUCUGCCCUGCACUUCGGGAUAAGCCUGGGAAACUGGGUCUAAUACCGGAUAGUAGCCAUUUUUAGCGUGAUGGUUGGAAAGUUUUUUCGGUGUAGGAUGAGCUCGCGGCCUAUCAGCUUGUUGGUGGGAUAAUGGCCUACCAAGGCGGCGACGGGUCGCCGGCCUGAGAGGGUGGACGGCCACAUUGAGACUGAGAUACGGCCCAGACUCCUACGGGAGGCAGCAGUGGGGAAUAUUGCACAAUGGGCGCAAGCCUGAUGCAGCGACGCCGCGUAGGGGAUGACGGCCCUCGGGUUGUAAACUCCUUUCGCUAGGGACGAAGCUUUUUGUGACGGUACCUAGAUAAGAAGCACCGGCUAACUACGUG
rnacentral:rRNA from 1 species